rnacentral:tRNA from 1 species
AGGGCUAUAGCUCAGAGGCAGAGCACAUGCUUAGCAUUCAAGAGAUCCUGGGUUCAACCCCCAGUACCUCCA